rnacentral:rRNA from 1 species
AAAUUGUAGUGCAAGUGAAGAUGCUUGCUACCCGCGAUUGGACGGAAAGACCCCGUAGAGCUUUACUGUAGCUUAGCAUUGAAUCUCGGUAUUGUCUGUACAGGAUAGGUGGGAGACUUGGAAGCUUAGGCGUCAGCCUGAGUGGAGUCAUCCUUGGGAUACCACCCUGACAGUACUGGGGUUCUAACCGGCGGCCAUGAAUCUGGUCACGGGACAUUGUUAGGUGGGCAGUUUGACUGGGGCGGUCGCCUCCUA